UCCUCCAAGCAAAAUGUUAAGACAGUAGAUGUCUCAAUAGUUUCUGAACACGGUGUCACACCAAGGGAUCAAAACGUGCUCUAUAUGAAUAUCCAAUUUUGUGCUCAAAAAUGCCUUGGUUUGCGUAAUGAAUGAUGCGGAUAUACGGAUCAAGAUCGGCCUCUGGGUAUGCGACCUUUCGUGACUGAAGCGUUUUGUAACCGACUCCCAUCUUUGCUGUGAAAGGCUUUUGUAAUCUGAAACAGAGCGCUUGAGGAUCUCCGCGUGGAGGGAGGAGAUGCUCCUGUGUCGUGUUAAGGAAAAAUACAGGAGUGACGUCACUGCAGUCUCUGCGAGAGCUCACCUUUCUCUCGGUAGGGUCGGGAAGAGAGAGAUGAGGAGCCUGCGGACACAGCUUCCCGCUGUAGAUGUACCUGCCAGCUGGAGAUGAGAUCUGGAGAGGGAGCUGAUGAGUCCCCCACCACCACCAGGCCUCCUGGAAAGCUCUCUUGUGGGGAGGAUCUUCUCGUGAGCCAGCCUCUGGACAUCAGCCAAGCAGGGCCUGCCAGUACACAGCCCUUAUCCCUGAACCAGAGUCUUCUGUCACUGUUUUGUGGAGGUUGAAGACCAGUCUGGACUGCAUGAGACCCUGACUCCCCAGUCCCCCAAAAGGAACAAGAUCUGUGCCUUGUUCAGCCGUCAUCAGAAAAGCUUCUUCAAGUACAGAGAGCCAUAGCCAGACAACGUGCAGAGAGUGAGAGCCGUUUAGAGAACUCAGCAUGUGCAGGAUGCCUCCAUCAAAUACCUCAGGGAAGAGGAGGAAGAAAGGGUGUAAAGGCCUGAGGUGAUGGAGGAGACAAAGAAUCACCGUCUAGACACAACAGGGCUGGCACACACAUGAUGGCCAAUGCAAAAUGAACUCUACGGUAUGCUUGGAGGCUCUUUGUGUCAUAAUGUUGUUAGGCGGGGUUUGUUUUGUUUUACUCCUGCAGGUUCUUUGCAUAUAUUAUGGCUUCUGGUGUGAGGGUCUCUUUGGAAUUUCUGUGUGUUCAAAGCCUGUGCGUCUGUGUCUGUCUGUAUUUACUUGUGCUUUUUAUUUGGCUCCUUUUCUAGUCUGGUUGUUUUGUCAUAUUUUAAUUUUUGGGUUUUUUAAAUUCAUCUUACUGUAUUUUAUUAUUAUUCCUGUAGAAGGCUGUUUUUCUUCUGAUGAAACGUAAAUGGGAUGGACCGGUGGGAGGGGAGGUUGGAAGGUUAUGAGAGGAGUAGAAUUAGGGGAAACCAUAAUCAGAACAUAGAUGAAAAUUAAAAAAAAAAAAAAAAGGAUAAGAAAGGAAGAAAGAAAAAAAGAGCCCAGGCUCCAUUCUAUCAUUGCUGGGACUCUAAAUAAAUAAAUAAAUAAAUAAAUAAAUAAAUAAACAAACAAACAAACCAAGAGGAACAGCACAUGUCUGUCAUGAUAUCAGCUACCUUUCUCCAGCUUUUAAAAGCAGCAGCCCAGACCCUUUAUCUCGCCUGAUUUCGAUUGGGUGAAAGACAGGGGUGACUGUAACAUACACCCAGCUGGCGGUAGAGUCACCUGUGAAAUACUGGAGGAACAAAGGCGAACUUAGCUUACCCUUUAGCCUACACGUCAGGGGUCAUGCAGGCAAUAUGGCGUGACUUAGUAGAACCCGGGUCUGAGCUGGCCAAAAGGCUGCAUGCGUGGGUGAUAUGUUUGAAAUGUGUGUGUGGAGAUCCAUUCGCUAGGUGUAUGGAGGCCAGGAGAGGCACUGUCACAGAAAGUCUCUGGCAGAAACAAAUUUGAGAAGAGAAGGACCGUGAGGCGCUGGUGGAGAGCCGAAAGAGCCUUGGGGAGGAUCUGCAGCUUUGUGGGCGGGGUGGGUAGUUGCAGGGUCCAGGAGCAGCAGGGGGUCCUGUAGGGGAGAGGAGGGUACGGAAACCGUGCAAACGUCAGGCUCUUGCCUAUCUGGUAAAGAAGGGCUCAGGAGGCUGAGUGCGUUAGGAGGCAGAAGAGAUGGGGCUUUGCAGUGGCACCCACAUACAGAACGCGGGCUGGAGGUACGGAUCAGCAUGAAGGGCAGAGGUGGGGCUCGGAGGACGCACACCGGCGGAGUAGGCGUCCAGGCCUCGCUUGGCUGCUCUGCUGUCGGGUGUGGGAGCACAGCUGGGGACCAGCAGAUGCGUCGAGCUUGAGGGCACAGUUCAUCACGGGGCCUGGAGCAUCCUACCCGCUCUGACCUUGAGGUGGCCAUCACUGAGGCGGUUCCAGGGUGGCUGCCCAGGUGAUCCGUGUUGUAAACUAUGGCUGCUAACACUUGUAAAGUAGGCAGUGAGAGAAAGGUGUGUGGAGGUAGGACUGGAGGCACGUUACAGAUGAGGGGCUGACUGAAGGCAAUAAUUCAGAUUUUAAUGAAGGAAACAGGAAUGAUUUUUACCUUGUUUUUCCCCCUCCAUGUUAGUGUAUGACUGAAUGCUCAGAAAGAAAAAAAAAUUCUCCCGAAGUUGUGUACUUGAGCAUCUUUUGGAUAUAUGCCUAGGAGAGGUAUAGCUGGAUCUUGAGGUAGCACUAUUCCUAAUUAUCUGAGAAAGCACCAGAUUGAUUUCCAAAGUGGCUGUACAAGGUUAUAUUCCCACCAGCAAUGGAGGAGGGUUCCCCUUUCUCCACAUCCUCUCCAGCAUGUAUUGGACAUUUGCUCAACCAUGUUCAUAGCAGCUUUAUCCAUAAUACCCAGAAUCUGGAAACAACCCAGAUGUCCCUCAGUUGAGGAAUGGAUACAGAAAUUGUGGUACAUUUACACAAUGGCAUACUACUCAGCAAUUAAAACAAAGAAAUCGUGAAAUUUGCAGGCAAAUGGUGGGAACUAGAAAAGAUUAUCCUGAGGGAGGUAUCCCAGAAGUAGAAAGACACACAUGGUAUAUAUGCACUUAUAAGUGGAUAUUAGACAUAUAAGAUAAACAUACUAAAAUCUGUACACCUAACGAAGCUAAGCAAGGAGGAGGACCCUGGGUAAGAUGAUCAAUCCUCAUUCAGAAAGGCAAACAGGAUAAACAUCGGAAGAGGGGGAAAACAAGGAACAGGACAGGAGCCUACCACAGAGGGCCUCUGAAAGACUUUACCCAGCAGGGUAUCAAAGCAGAUGCUGAGACCCAUAGCCAAACUUUGGGCAGAAUGCAGGGAAUCUUAUGAAAGAAGGGGGAGAUGAAAGACCUGUAGGGAACAGGAGCUCCACAAGGAGAGCAACAGAACCAAAAAAACUAGGCACAGGGGUCUUUUCUGAGACUGGUACUCCAACUAAGGACCAUUCAUGGAGAUAACCUAGAACCCCUGCACAGAAGGAGCCUAUGGCAGCUCAUUGUCUAAGUGGGUUCCCCAGUAAUGGAAACAGGGACUGUCUCUGACAUGAGCUCAGUGGCCUGCUCUUUGAUCACCUUCCCCUGAUGGGGGAGCAGCCUUACCAGACCACAGAGGAAGACAAUGCAACCAGUCCUGAUGAGACCUGAUAGGCUAGGGUCAGAUGGAAGGGGAGGAGGACCUCUCCUAUCAGUGGACUUGGGGAGGGGCA